GGGUUUGUAGCUCAUCAGGAUAGAGCAGCUGCCUUCUAAGCAGCAGGUAGGGGGUUCGAGCCCCUCCAGACCCG
rnacentral:tRNA from 1 species